rnacentral:pre_miRNA from 1 species
GGAGAUCUUGGUUGAGGGGAAUGCUAUCUGGCUCGAGGUCGCCUUCCUUCGUCGUCGGACCAGGCUUCAUUCCUCUCUACUUGGACUUCC